rnacentral:lncRNA from 1 species
AAACAUGUGUAUUUUCAUUCAAGCACCUGUUAUCGGCUAUGAUUCGAUUUUGGGCUAUUUUAAAGUUUGACACCGGUUCUCACCUUUUUAAUUCAAUUCAUUAUGCUUUCAGUGUUCUAUGUAAUCCGUUUUCCAAGUGUAAAACCAUUUUUAUUGUUGUAGAAUUGAGAUAACUUAUGUAGUUAACUUUCACUUUCACUUCAGCACAAUGAUUUUUGUGUAUUGAUUAUGCAAAUGAGGUGAACUGUGUGAAACCUCAGGUGAACUUUAUGUACCACAAGCGUAAAACAGUGUAUGAAUACUAUAGCGGUUGUAGAUCGAUUAUUACAAGAUUAUUGUAUCAAAACAUUAUUUAUUAGGAUUGUAAAUUGUAUUAAGAUGAUUUUUAUGUUCCGUAAACAUGUUGUUUACGUUUUUAUGUACUUAAUUCUAGCUAUCGGGGAUUAUUUUCGUUCUUGUCAGGCCCGUUCCCAGUUCCCCGUUCGUUUCCCCGUUAAGAACCGUUCGUUACCCCGAUAAUUUCAUCGAGGUAUAAAAAGCUUGCACCUGUUUGUCAGGGGCUCUUCCUCCUUAGUCAGACCUACAGAUAUGUUGCCAGAUUUUCGGUCAGUUGAUACUGUCGAUUAUUCAAUAUUCGCUGAAGUUUAGCAUAUUUUUAUCAUGUAUUUCAUGAGAUUCUAAGCAGUUUUACUGCAGUUUAGAACUUUUUGGACGUUUUCUGUUCAGAGGGUGGUAAAGGGUUAUUUUCGUGCAACGUUUUCGGCCAUUUUAUUUCACGUAUUUUCGUGUUUUGACGUUUUAUUUCUCGUUUUCUCGUGUUUGCCUCGAUUUGCGUGCUGCUUCGUGUUUCCCCUUAUUUAUUUUCCGUGUUUCGUGUCGGUGCUCUUAAUUUCUCGUGCAUGUCCCGAAUUUGUUAAAAAAAAGUCAGUGUGUUGUAAUACCUUCUGAAAC